CAGCAAGCCAACAUUGAAUAAACAUUGUUUUUCCAUCUGAAUCAUCAUUAUGGUUGAUAUUGAAAUUUCAAUGCAAAAUAAAUGUUGAAUCACCAUUAUCAUAUCGAUGAAAACCUGAUGUUAUUAAUGUUGAUGGCAACAAUAUUGGAACAACAUUGAUCCAUAGUUAUCUUUAUGAUUGAUUAAGCAUUGAUAUUUGGUUACCGGGUGAUCCCUGAAUGUGUUGAAAAGUAAUUGAUUUAUAGUGGACAGAGAAACGAUGCGGUUGUUGAAAAGUCAUCGAAAUAUAGUUGACCGGGAAAUAUGAUAGAAAAUGCAUCGAAAUAUAGUUGACCGGGAAAUAUGAUAGAAAAUGCAUCGAAAUAUAGUUGACCGGGAAAUAUGAUUGAAAAUCCAUCGAUUUUUGGUUGACCGGGAGAUCAACGGGUGGUAUACCCAACGUACUGCACCGGACACAGCUCAUUUCUGGACCCUUGGCACAAGCGUACAGGUAAGCUUGCUUAAUGUUCGAUAUGAACCCAGACAGCACAGGCACGCGGUGUGUUUUUAUACAGUCUGUGGGCAGCUGAAGAGACUGGCUCAUUUUCAAAUAAUGUUACCGUUAACUUGUUUAGACAACGGUCACGGUAAAUUAAUAUUAAAGCCUUUCGUGUACAGCAGUUUCUCGGAGGGAAAAUGUAAAAGCGGUUUAUUAAAGAGAAGUCCUGACUGCUUUAUCGUCGUGUUUUUCACUCUUUUACAGGCUGCCAGAAAGAAUCUACUAUAUUCUACUAUAUUAAUCUUACUAUAGUGAGUGAUUAUUGAAUGAGGCUGUACAUUAUAAAUGUAAUGUUUUAACUCUAGAUGUUUGUUUGUGUGAAUGCUGUGUGUGCGGUGAGUUCUGCGCGAGGAGCAGAGUUGCCAUGGAAACGGGGCGUCAACACAAAAAACGUUACUGGCAAGCAGUAAUCUCCGUGUCUCGCUGCGGUUUACGCUGUUUUAGGUAAGUUUAGUCGCUAAAAUCACACAAAUAUGAUAUACAAAUGUUUCUGACACGUUUCUUACUUGUUAUUGACAUGUUUCAAUUAAAUUUAUUUUAUAGAAAUGGUUUAGUGUCUUCGAAAAAGUCCGUUAGCAUCUAUCUUAGCAGUUUUCAGGUAAUGUUAGGCUAAUUUUGAGCUCUUUUUGAUGAAACUCUGGGCUUUUCAUCAAAUCGUCGUGUGUGUAUGAAAUAUUUUGAUGGCUCUGAAUGUUUUGCUGGUGAUUUGUCAGUGUUUUUUUUUUUUUUUUUAGAAAAGGCUGAUUUACUGAAUCGAUGACGUCACUUACACUGAGAGUGUAACGUUAAUCGGCUGAAAACAAGUUCACAUGAGUUUUGAUAUUUCAUGAUAAACAGAUAUUAAUACAAAUUGUUCUGUGAUUUCAGGUGGACAGAAAGAAACUAUACAGAACAAAGUGAAACUCCAAGAUUUUUGAAAAGAAAAUUGGUGAAAUAUAUUCUGAAAAAGGCAUAUUAAUGUAUUUCAUGAGCUUCUUCAGUAAAUCUGUAUUUCUAAGUCAGUAUCUCCCUUCAGAAAUGUGGCUGAAGGGAGAUACUGACUUAGAAAUACAGGUGAACUCAUGAAAAGAAGCUCAUGAAAGAAGCUCAUGAAAUACAUUAAUAUGCCUUUUUCAGAAUAUAUUUCGCCAAAUUUAAGAAGUCCCUGACAUCAAAAGAUGGCUUGUUUUGUUCCUGGACUCUUCAGUGAUGAUGAGCAGAGUCUGAGUUAACCUCCUGUCAGACAAUCACUAUUGCACACCAAAUGCUCUUACUCAGCAGAUGGGGACAGCUACCAUCACCCAAUUUUCACCCAAAAGUGGCUGCGCUAUUCGCCAGACUGGGCAGGAGGGACUGGACGACAACUUAUGCAGGCAUCAGAUGACAAUGAAGUGUAAAUAAAGAGUAGAGA